UGUCCUUUAAAACAUGGUGUCAUUAGCAGAU
rnacentral:piRNA from 1 species